rnacentral:rRNA from 1 species
AUUGAACGCUGGCGGCAGGCCUAACACAUGCAAGUCGAGCGGAUGAAGGGAGCUUGCUCCUGGAUUCAGCGGCGGACGGGUGAGUAAUGCCUAGGAAUCUGCCUGGUAGUGGGGGAUAACGUCCGGAAACGGGCGCUAAUACCGCAUACGUCCUGAGGGAGAAAGUGGGGGAUCUUCGGACCUCACGCUAUCAGAUGAGCCUAGGUCGGAUUAGCUAGUUGGUGGGGUAAAGGCCUACCAAGGCGACGAUCCGUAACUGGUCUGAGAGGAUGAUCAGUCACACUGGAACUGAGACACGGUCCAGACUCCUACGGGAGGCAGCAGUGGGGAAUAUUGGACAAUGGGCGGAAGCCUGAUCCAGCCAUGCCGCGUGUGUGAAGAAGGUCUUCGGAUUGUAAAGCACUUUAAGUUGGGAGGAAGAGCAGUAAGUUAAUACAUUGCUGUUUUGACGUUACCAACAGAAUAAGCACCGGCUAACUUCGUG